rnacentral:rRNA from 1 species
UACGGGGGGGGCAAGCGUUGUUCGGAGUUACUGGGCGUAAAGGGCGCGUAGGCGGCCGCCUAAGUCAGACGUGAAAUCCCUCGGCUCAACCGGGGAACUGCGUCUGAUACUGGGUGGCUUGAAUCCGGGAGAGGGAUGCGGAAUUCCAGGUGUAGCGGUGAAAUGCGUAGAUAUCUGGAGGAACACCGGUGGCGAAGGCGGCAUCCUGGACCGGCAUUGACGCUGAGGCGCGAAAGCCAGGGGAGCAGACGGG